rnacentral:lncRNA from 1 species
AAGAGUGUCACAGCUCCAGCCUUACACCAUCAAGAUGCCACUUUGCUGUUUCCCUGACUGACCUGAGGAGGUGGAAUGCACUCUUUAAUUGGCCAACUCAGUGACUAGACUGUGGCUCGACAUCAUAAAUGAACAACCUGUAUGAAACCCAUCCAACAGCAAGUCCUCGUGAUGGUGUGUGUGGCAUCUCUGCUUUGGUAUCUAAAGAGGGGGACAGCUACCUAUGGCAGCUAGCCUGGGUCUAGGAAUCUGAGACCCGCAAGCUCUAGGAUUUUUGGCCCUCCACCUGAAGAGCUGUGGAAGAAGAAGGUUUGCAGCUGGUGAAGGUGACAGAAUCAAGCUGCUUUAUAGACCUGAGAGAACUUGAGUGAGGGGAGGGUGUGGAAGGGGGGAGGUUGGAAUAAGCAGGCAGCUUGGGAUGCUUCUUGGUACGGGCUCCUUGGCAACGGUUACUUAGCAACCUGCAUUCACCUCUCUUGACUGCCUUCUCCCUCUCUUUUUCCUCCCACCCCUAGUCUCCCUCCCUUAGCUGCUGCAAGAAGCUAGAGAGCUUGAAGUGAAUGACAAUUUGGAGAAACAGCCGCAGCCUGAAGAUCUAAGAG